GUGUCCUCUUAAGGUUGACUCAGUAUUUUAAGAGGCUGACAGAGAAGGGUUAAGUAACACACCAUAAAACCCAGAGAGGAGAUUGUAAAAACUCCUUGGAUCCUAUCUGAAAUCACAGCA